UCAGCCUUUUCUUCAGGAUUGUUAAUGCUAAACACAUAAUUAUUAUCCAUAAUCAACAAAGAAAUUAAGAUCAAGAAGAUGAUGAUGAACCUUUAGUGCAAAUCACAUUUCCACCGGUGUUAAAACUACCAUUGUUAUGAAGAUGGAGGUGGUGGUCGAUGUCGUGACGGUUGUUUCCGGAGUCAAGGUGGUGGUUGUUUCCGGUAUCAAGGUGGUGGUUGUUUCCGGUGUCAUGGUGGUGGUUGUUUCUUGAAAUAAUGAAAUCAAUGCCCUCACCGGAGGAAUUAUUGCCAUUGUUGUUAGUGAAAUCCUUCGGUUUCCCAAAAGUAGUUUUGUUGUUAUGCAUCCAUACCUUAAAA
rnacentral:lncRNA from 1 species